rnacentral:rRNA from 1 species
AUUGAACGCUGGCGGCAGGCCUAACACAUGCAAGUCGAGCGGCAGCGGGAAAGUAGCUUGCUACUUUUGCCGGCGAGCGGCGGACGGGUGAGUAAUGCCUGGGGAUCUGCCCAGUCGAGGGGGAUAACUACUGGAAACGGUAGCUAAUACCGCAUACGCCCUACGGGGGAAAGCAGGGGACCUUCGGGCCUUGCGCGAUUGGAUGAACCCAGGUGGGAUUAGCUAGUUGGUGAGGUAAUGGCUCACCAAGGCGACGAUCCCUAGCUGGUCUGAGAGGAUGAUCAGCCUCACUGGAACUGAGACACGGUCCAGACUCCUACGGGAGGCAGCAGUGGGGAAUAUUGCACAAUGGGGGAAACCCUGAUGCAGCCAUGCCGCGUGUGUGAAGAAGGCCUUCGGGUUGUGAAGCACUUUCAGCGAGGAGGAAAGGUUGGUAGCUAAUAACUGCCAGCUGUGACGUUACUCGCAGAAGAAGCACCGGCUAACUCCGUGCCAGCCGCCGCCGUAAGAC